GAUGAAGAACGUAGCAAAAUGCGAUAAGUAGUGUGAAUUGCAGAAUUCAGUGAAUCAUCGAAUCUUUGAACGCACAUUGCGCCCGCCAGUAUUCUGGCGGGCAUGCCUGUUCGAGCGUCAUUUCAACCAUCAAGCCCCCGGCUUGUGUUGGGGACCUGCGGCUGCCGCAGGCCCUGAAAACCAGUGGCGGGCUCGCUAGUCACUCCGAGCGUAGUAAUACAUCUCGCUCAGGGCGUGCUGCGGGUUCCGGCCGUUAAAAAGCCUUAUUUACCCAAGGUUGACCUCGGAUCAGGUAGGAAGACCCGCUGAACUUAAGCAUAUCAAUAAGCGGAGGA
rnacentral:misc_RNA from 1 species